rnacentral:rRNA from 1 species
UACGGGGGAGCAAGCGUUGUUCGGAUUUACUGGGCGUAAAGGGCGCGUAGGCGGCCUCCGCAAGUCAGUUGUGAAAUCUCCGAGCUUAACUCGGAAAGGUCAACUGAUACUGCGGGGCUAGAGUGCGGAAGGGGCAACUGGAAUUCUUGGUGUAGCGGUGAAAUGCGUAGAUAUCAGGAGGAACACCGGUGGCGAAGGCGGGUCUCUGGGCCGAUACUGACGCUGAGGAGCGAAAGCGUGGGGAGCGAACAGG